rnacentral:rRNA from 1 species
AACGAACGCUGGCGGCCUGCCUAACACAUGCAAGUCGAACGAGACCUUCGGGUCUAGUGGCGCACGGGUGCGUAACGCGUGGGAAUCUGCCCUUGGGUUCGGAAUAACAGCUAGAAAUGACUGCUAAUACCGGAUAAUGACGUAAGUCCAAAGAUUUAUCGCCCAAGGAUGAGCCCGCGUAGGAUUAGCUUGUUGGUGAGGUAAAGGCUCACCAAGGCGACGAUCCUUAGCUGGUCUGAGAGGAUGAUCAGCCACACUGGGACUGAGACACGGCCCAGACUCCUACGGGAGGCAGCAGUGGGGAAUAUUGGACAAUGGGCGAAAGCCUGAUCCAGCAAUGCCGCGUGAGUGAUGAAGGCCUUAGGGUUGUAAAGCUCUUUUACCCGGGAUGAUAAUGACAGUACCGGGAGAAUAAGCCCCGGCUAACUCCGUGCCAGCCGCCGCGGUAAAAC